rnacentral:rRNA from 1 species
CUUUAAGGGUCCUGAAGGAACGUUGAAGACGAUGACGUUGAUAGGCCGGGUGUGUAAGCGCAGCGAUGCGUUGAGCUAACCGGUACUAAUGAACCGUGAGGCUUAACCUU